rnacentral:ncRNA from 2 species
AGAAAUAUGUCUGAUAAAA